rnacentral:rRNA from 1 species
AUGCAAGUCGCACGAGAACGCUUCAGCUUGCUGAAGCUAGUAAAGUGGCGCACGGGUGAGUAACGCGUGGGUAAUCUACCUCCAAAUUGGGGAUAACAUUGCGAAAGCGAUGCUAAUACCGAAUGAUAUCUCAAAAACUUCGGUUUUUUGAGAUCAAAGGUGGCCUCUCCAUGGAAGCUACUGUUAGGAGAUGAGCCCGCGUACCAUUAGCUUGUUGGUAGGGUAAUUGCCUACCAAGGCAACGAUGGUUAGCUGGUCUGAGAGGAUGAUCAGCCACACUGGAACUGACACACGGUCCAGACUCCUACGGGAGGCAGCAGUGAGGAAUUUUGCGCAAUGGGGGAAACCCUGACGCAGCAACGCCGCGUGAGUGAUGAAGGCUUUCGGGUCGUAAAGCUCUGUCAAGUGGGAAGAACCUGCCCAGUGCUAAUAUCACCGGGCACUGACGGUACCACUGAAGGAAGCACCGGCUAACUCCGUG